AUUGAACGCUGGCGGCAGGCUUAACACAUGCAAGUCGAGCGGGGGAGGUUGCUUCGGUAACUGACCUAGCGGCGGACGGGUGAGUAAUGCUUAGGAAUCUGCCUAUUAGUGGGGGACAACAUUCCGAAAGGAAUGCUAAUACCGCAUACGCCCUACGGGGGAAAGCAGGGGAUCUUCGGACCUUGCGCUAAUAGAUGAGCCUAAGUCGGAUUAGCUAGUUGGUGGGGUAAAGGCCUACCAAGGCGACGAUCUGUAGCGGGUCUGAGAGGAUGAUCCGCCACACUGGGAGUGAGACACGGCCCAGACUCCUGCGGGAGGCAGCGGUGGGGAAUAUUGGACAAUGGGCGGAAGCCUGAUCCAGCCAUGCCGCGUGUGUGAAGAAGGCCUUUUGGUUGUAAAGCACUUUAAGCGCGGAGAAGGCUCUUAAGGUUAAUACCCUUGAUGAGUGGACGUUACUCGCAGAAUAAGCACCGGCUAACUCUGUGCCAGCCGCCGCAGUAACAC
rnacentral:rRNA from 1 species